CUUUGCUAUUUACUCUCUCUCCAUAGGGUAGGACAAGAAGGAACAAAUAAAUAGAGGAUCCGCGGGGACAGAAAACGUAUUAAGGGGGGAAAUUAAAACAGAAACGUCUUAACCUGGAAGUCUUUCCAAAGGGGAUGGCAUGACCCGAACACGUUCAAUAACAUUUUUUUUUCCUGGUUAUGGAGACCUUUGGAACAGGAACAAAACAGAAAGGAAACCAACCACCGUUAGGAAUAACUUUGUUUUUGCUUUGAGCAGGGCGUUUGGAACGCACCAGACAGAAGCCAUGGGUAAAAGAUUGGAAACAUCUCUGCCAGAGCAGCCUGGGAGAUAAAUUGGAUCUGAAAGUGAAAGCAAUCCAGCUGCUGAGUAUUUUAAGCUCUCCAGAGUCACAUAGUAAGUGGGUGGUCUUAAACAUGGAAGAAAGAAGCAACAAACUAGAUCAAUGAAACCACACGGGCCUACAGAAGAGCAAAACUGCACCCCACUAGGAGUUUUCUGCAACACCCCGUAGCAGCCACCUGCUCUGCCGAAGAGGUCAACAUUUAUCCCCUUUAUCAGUUAACAUUUGAAUGAAGAAGUGGCUUGAAGCAUCGGCCUGCAGUCCAGGGUUCAGGAACGUCUCAAAUUGUAGAAGCCACGCUGGUGUCGUACUGAUAUCAUAACGUCACUAAGCAAGUGACAUGAGCGAAGCAAUUUGCAGCAAGCGGCCUUAGGGAAUUUGAAACUGUGGGGUAUUUGGUGAACCCAUGAGGAGGUCCAACACAGAGUAAAUUCCAUGAACCAUCAAGAUUUGUACAAGCUGCCGUCAAAUAGAUACAAUAUGCACAUCACUGCCAGAAAAAUGGCAACCACACAUUUUGUUUCUCCCUCUGGCACAAUUGAAUGCCUUUCCAAUUUUGACAAGAUCAUUUAUUUAUAUGUGGCCUUACUCCAUAUGAAUGCAUGGCAGUGUGAAAUAAAAAACUGAAAUUAUCAAAUCAGAAAAACAGAAUAGUACAGAAAUAAUAAUCCUGAAAACUGUCAAAACCUUUCAGAAGUGAUUACUGUAAAGCUAGAAAGAGUACAAAUAUUAGGCAUACUGCUGGCAGAUCAUGGAGGAUAAUUUUCCCUGAAAGGUGAUUAUGGACAAAUCAAUUAAAUUCAUAUUUGAUUCUGGACUAAAACAACAUUUCAUAUAAAUCCAAUCCAGAUAUUUUGUUUUGAUACUGUAUAUAUUUAUUGUUUGCUGAUGAUAAACACCCUUGUUUGUCUGGGGACAAGCACCAUUAGAACGAUAAGAAUAUAAUGAGGUUGGGUGUAGAGUGAAUAUAAAUAAGACACGAUAGAAUGUUGAGGCUGCGCUGACAAGUCCUUCAAGAAAGAUAUCAUCUUCUGGAAUGGUUUCUGACCAGAACUUCCUCCAUGAGAAUUGAUCAGUGACAUGGUGAAGUGGAUAGAUCAAGUGUCUUUCCUGCCUGUUCCCAGAACUUCCUACUUAUCAGUAGGAUAAGAGAAAAAGGCCCUAAGUUUGGAUCCGUGUUUCCAGCAAACAAGGAGAACUUGAUGCUAGCGGAAAAAACGGCCCAACUAUCAAACGAAAUUCCUGCAGUUAGCCCUUUAAAAGAAGCUUCAGGAACUUGUUUUAGGAAUAGGUUCUUUAAGAGAGAGUUCAUGUAUCGACUUCUGCUUUUUGAGUCUGUACCUCUCAGAGGCAAGUGCCUAGCUGCGUUAAGCAUCAUAAUUUGCCAGUGCAAAGAUAACACACUUGGCAUAGCUUAAAAAAUUAAUUAUAUAGAGAAUGUAUAGUUAAAAAAAGGAAAAGAAAAGAAGACUUUGAGUCAAGCUUGACUCCUGGAGAUGGCAUCCGUGUGCUUUUCUUCAUAGUGUUAUGGAUUGCCAAUGCUUUCUUUUGGGAUGUUGCUUCCAGUUUCCCAGUCUGGCCUUAGAAUUCUCAGAUGGUCCCCCAUCAGGUCCAAUGAUGUUUAGCUUCUGAAAUCAGGUAAGGUUGACUAGGUGCAACUACCAGUUAAAACAAAGGAUGUUGUUUUAUUAGGCUUACUUACUACAUCAAGAAAUAUUUAGAGUACAGCACCUUUGUUAGAGUUGGUUUCAAGGGUUGGCUUCAUCUGGAGCCACAGAGAAGCAGACAACCAGUGACUGCUUAUGGACAAUACUGAUGACAGUUGCUGAAACACCUCCUAACUCCUGUUUGCUUUCUCUCACUUCAUUGGUGUACCUGUCUCUUGGCCCAGGGCUGCUCGACUUUUUUACCUGUGCUCAUUCUCUCUGCCCUUUGCCUCCCUUGAGAUAGUCUGAUGUGUACAUGAGUCGCAGGUUGUGUCCCCUGAAGUCAUGACACGUUUCAUUAUUUAGCACCUUGCCCUUCUAUGGACUCCAGCCACUCUUAGCCUUUGUCCAGACAUUCUUGGCUUUGCUCCCACCCAGUCUUGUUCAGCCUCUAAGAGAUGAUGCCUCUGGAAGACAAAAACAAUCCGUUUUUGCCCUGGGGAAUAUCCAUCUAACGUAACCAUUCAGAUACCUGCUGCCUCCACUGUCAAGACAUCGUGGAAGUGUCUUUACUGCUUUCUGUUCACCAAAAUCUCUCCAGAGAGUCUAAAAUGUGUUUAAGAGUAAGAACUCCCAUGAGAAUAAACUCACUGUGUAGUGCUGACCACUAUGACAUGAAGCUAUCAGAAAAUUGGUUACAUACUUCAUAUUCUAUCCCAGAAAACUUCUGGAAACUAUAGUUUUCAGAAUGUGGAAUGCAAUAGACAGCAUUCCCACAGUUUUUGCAUAGUUUUUUGUUUGCCAAAGGAAGAAUUCCUUUGGUGAAUUGAUCUGAAUUAAUUUCUCAUGCAUCUUUAACUAGGCAACUUCCCCUGUGGAUAGAAAUCUUUAGCCUUUUUGUAACCGAUGGCAGCAGAAGCCAACUUCUGAUAAAGGCUUAGAUUUGGGUCUAUCACUGUCCCAUUCCCCCCAGAUCUGCAUUUGUAGUAAGGUUGCAGAGGUCUUGAGAAAAGGGAGGUGUGACCCUCUAGAAAAUAUCUGAAAUUCAUAGGGAAAUUGCUUUUGUGUGUGAGAGAGAGAACUGGAUGGUUCUGAGGAUUCUGUGACAAUUUUGUACAAAAAUCUGUCAGCAUGACAGGAUCAGAAAUAGAACAGAGAUACAAUUUGUUCAGUGUGCAGAAAAUAUUUAUUUAUUGUUCCUGACAUGUGCACUCCCAGUACACAUUCUGUCUCUCAAAACAUAUGAGGAUAGAUCCCAAUAAAACAUUAUUAACUGAGAUGAAGCAGCAUUUGGCAUUGGGGGAAUAGUCUUCUUAAGGCCCAAACCAAGAAACUCUGGUUACAAUUGCCAUUUGUAUUCUCCGGAAAGCGUGCCUAGUAAAAAUCACCAAAACAUUCAUCAUUGCUUUGGAAUGGCACCUGUGCUUUCUCUUUUCCAGUGCACUGAGAACACAACUGGUUUUUGUGAAUCUACAUGCAUACUUUUUAGCUAUUUCAUUAUUUGGAAACAUUUUUCAUACUGUGUAGCUUUGUAUUCAUUCGCUGUUCAAUUCAGGCAAUUUGGUUAAUUCAGAUGGCAUUGUUUCAAUUAAGCCUUGGUUCAGGGUUAGCGUGUUGCAUAUGUAGGAAAUAGUAUAAACCAGGGGUUCUCAAACUGGCCCUCUUGAAAUGGCUAGCAAACUGUGAAGAAUUCUCCAAACUAUGGUGGAUACAGACAUUUUUUAAAACUAGAACUAUCUUUAAUUGAGUUUGGAUAAGUGUGCUGUAUUCAGACAGCCCAAAUGUGGAACUAUUUGAAAAGGUGGAGUUACAGAUAGGAAAGGUAACUCCAUGGCACAGAUUUUGGAGAAAAUAGCUACCGGGAAGUGAUUCUGCACAGUAACACCGAGAUGGAAACGGAGAGGCACAGAGACUGCAUUCACAUCAUAUGGAUAGCAGGUUACUAAAUUAACCCACUGAACAUGAACUAAUCAAACGUUUGGAGUCACACAACAUACUGAACUAUAUAAAAAAAUGCUAGCCAGGUACAAUCUGAACAAACUGAACAAACUCCCUGUGCAAAACAAGCGACACAAAUCUCUCUGAGUUAACCAAAAGUAAAAAGUUUACUGGAAGCGUUUGCAAAGGCUGGUGGGCCUCACAGUGUGCAAGCGGGAAGCCACGCCCACAUACAAACUCCGACAUAAUUAUAUACAUUCCCGAUCGCAAGUCCCUCCCCUUUUCCCCAUUGGCUAAGGUACUCAGGGUGUACACUCUUUCCGGCCGCUCUAUGAUUUUUCCCUGGUCCCUCCCACCUCAUCCAUUGCAUCUAUGGUAAUUUUCUCAAGGUUUCAGCUAAUUUGCAUUAUACUGAUAAAGACUGCCCCAGAUUAAAUCA